GAGAAAUGCACGAUAUUUCAGAAGUGUAUAGAAUUUAAGUUCGCAUACAUUCAAAACAAAAGGUGAAUCAUUAAUUCAUAACUUUCAUCAAUACGGAUGGUUAUAUAUCCUUUUUUACCUUUUCCAUUUUCCUAAUUUCACUGCCAAAGCAAAUGGGGUUGUGGAGACCCUAGCUGCUAUUAUUAACAUCUGGCACAGCACCUGGAUCACCUCACCAGCAAGGGAAGGCUGCAGAAGUCGUUGCAGUUAUCUACAAAUAAAUUUUAUUUACUUGUACCUAAAUAAUUUCCCAUUCAGAUUCACAGAAAUCUGGAGUUGGGGAUCUUCUGGCAUCAUUUAUGUCAAGACCAGACAUUGAAUUCUUGGUGCUCUCUUCUUGAUUGGGAUAUGAAUCACUACCAGGCCAUAUUGCUAGUUGCUCAUUCUUCCUUGUUAACUUCUUUCUUGACGAAAAAACAUCCUGAAUCUUCUUCUUGUAAGACUUGCUUUUUCCUCCAUUUUGAGGAGUAAAAUGAAGUUCAUCUCUAUUCACCAUAAUACAGGACUCCUCAAGCUUUGCCUUGUCAACUUGUUGAAUGAUUUGCAUUUCUGAAUUAGACACAAAAUCCUCCUCACACGCAAUUUCACUUCUCUGUACUCUCCCAUUUUCACAGGAUUCCUCUAGAGAAACCAACUCAUCAUUCAUACAAACAUCUGCAGCUGCCAAAUGAGAAGUCAACUUAGAAUGCCCAACACAUGUGAUUAAAAACAAUAGGCCAAAACUAUUAGAAAACAGGAAGUAGUCACCAGUUGCUUCUUGUAAUGCGCGGCAUUGAGAGUAAGGUCUCAUAUCCAUUUCUUUACUCAUGCCAGAUUCAAUUAAAUUAACCAUAUCAAAUGAUGAUCCAUCUGUUUUAAUAUCAGGCAUUUGUUCACUUGCAUUUUCAAUCUUAUUUUUACUUUCUUCUAUGGAAUCAUGCCCUGUCACUUCAACAGACCCUAGAUUUGUAAUUUUAUCUUUCUGAUCAGAAGAUGCCUUGUGAUUUUCAUUUGAAAAUUUACGGACAGAAGAUCCUCCAGUCAAAUCUUUAUCCAAAGGAGUGAUGCCUCCUGAUUUCUCACUUGGGGGCACAUACUCCCUUUUUGAGCUUUUAUUGGCCCCAAGAUAUGAUUUAUUAGACAAACAUCCUUCAACAUAUCGUUUUGAGGCUUCUCCAGCACAAUCUCCUAGAUUUUCAUUUGAAGGUUCGCAGAAUGAAGAAGCUCUAAUCAAAUCUUUAUCCAAAGGAGAGAUGGCACCUGAUUUCUCAUAAAGGGACAUAUUCUCCCUCUUACAUCUUUUUUUGGUACCCAUAUAUGAUUUAUUAGACAGACUUCCUUUACCAUAUUGUCCUGGGGCAACUCCAGGAGAAUCCCAUUGAGAUAGUGGGAACAGAUUAUCUACAUGACUAAGCCUGUGGAAAGUAGGAGAAUGGGCUGCAUUGUUAUCAAUGAUCAUUUUUGGAUCCUCAGUCAACUUCUCUAUAUUAUCAAUCUUUACAUGCUCUUCCUUCAUAGCCACUUUUGGCUUCAUAUAGAUCCCAACAUCAGCAUAAAGCUCCAGAGGCAAGUCAGAGACUCCAUCUUUAGCAGCGUCCACAGUAGAUGGAGGAAGCAAAUCUUGCAUUACAUCUGAAUAGAAUUUUUUCACUGUAGAACCAACUGUCUGCACCUGAUUUUCAACAUAUUUAACUGUGUCCUGGUACAUAAUUUCUUCAACCUCCAAGCACAUAGCUUCAAAUUUCUGGUAGACGUUACCAACCCAUGAUAUACCCUUCAGAUCCAUAACGAUCAUAAGUCAACCUCAGAAAAUCAGAUGUUGGACUCCUUCCACUAGGGUUUUAAUAAUGCGGUUAGAAUCCUUAAAGCUUCUACGUAUGUUUAGUGUAACAGCCGAUGGACACCCAGAAGCCCAAAGCCUUUUGAUGAGUCAGAUUAUCAUUAUUAUCUAUAAAUAUAUAUUCAACUCAGUUGAGCUUUUUAAGAGGACCCAAAAAUACCAGGCAAUUUAUGCACAGAGCCAAACG
rnacentral:misc_RNA from 1 species